rnacentral:lncRNA from 1 species
AUAAAGUCUCUUUUGGAUCAUUUUCUCAAUGCUAAAGUUAGAACUUGUAAUCUGAAAAAACAUAAACAACUACAAACUUAUUUCUUAAAGACAAAUAAUUUGGAUAGUAUAAUGGGAGAGGAAGAGCGCAUGUGCUAGCUAUUACUCUUCUCUAGAUUACAAAAACUAAAAAUAAAGUCUUCUAAAAAUUAAAAAAAAAA